CCUACGGGUGUCAGCAGUGAGGAAUAUUGGUCAAUGGGCGCAAGCCUGAACCAGCCAUGCCGCGUGAAUGAUGACUGCCCUCCGGUUUUUAAGCUUCUUUUGUACGGGAGUAAAGUGAGACACGUGUACCUUUUUGUAUGUACUUUAUGAGUAGGGAUCGGCUCACUCCGUGCCAGCAGCCGCGGUAAUACGGAGGAUCCUAGCGUUAUCCGGAUUGAUUGGGUUUAAAGGGAGCGUAGGUGGGUUGUUAAGUCAGAUGUGAAAUGUUGUGGCUCAACAUGAGAAUUGCACUUGAUACUGGCAGGCUUGAGUAUAGUUGAGGUAGGUGGAAUUCGUGGUGUAGCGGUGAAAUGCGUAGAGAUCACGAAGAAUACCGAUGGCGAAGGCAGCUUACUAAACUGCCACUGACAUUGAGGUGCGAAAGCGUGGGUAGCAAACAGGAUUAGAUACCCCUGUAGUC
rnacentral:rRNA from 1 species